GUACGGAGGGUGCAAGCGUUAUCCGGAUUCACUGGGUUUAAAGGGUGCGUAGGAGGACAGGUAAGUCCGUGGUGAAAUCUCUGAGCUUAACUCAGAAACUGCCGUGGAUACUAUUUGCCUUGAAUAUUGUGGAGGUGAGCGGAAUAUGUCAUGUAGCGGUGAAAUGCUUAGAUAUGACAUAGAACACCAAUUGCGAAGGCAGCUCACUACACAAUCAUUGACGCUGAGGCACGAAAAGCGUGGGGGAUCAAAACAGG
rnacentral:rRNA from 1 species